UACGUAGGGUGCAAGCGUUGUCCGGAUUUAUUGGGCGUAAAGAGCUCGUAGGCGGUUUGUCGCGUCGGAUGUGAAAACCCAGGGCUCAACCCUGGGCCUGCAUUCGAUACGGGCAGACUAGAGUAUGGCGGGGGAGACUGGAAUUCCUGGUGUAGCGGUGAAAUGCGCAGAUAUCAGGAGGAACACCGGUGGCGAAGGCGGGUCUCUGGGCCAAAACUGACGCUGAGGAGCGAAAGCGUGGGGAGCGAACAGG
rnacentral:rRNA from 1 species